rnacentral:sRNA from 1 species
GUUUUGCCCGCGUUAGGGAUAGUAGCGGCAUCCUUUUUUGAAGCAUGAAAAAAAGAUAUAGCGAAUAGCCCGACCCGAC